rnacentral:rRNA from 1 species
UACGUAGGGCGCAAGCGUUAUCCGGAAUUAUUGGGCGUAAAGAGCUCGUAGGCGGUUUGUCGCGUCUGCCGUGAAAGUCCGGGGCUCAACUCCGGAUCUGCGGUGGGUACGGGCAGACUAGAGUGAUGUAGGGGAGAGUGGAAUUCCUGGUGUAGCGGUGAAAUGCGCAGAUAUCAGGAGGAACACCGAUGGCGAAGGCAGGUCUCUGGGCAUUAACUGACGCUGAGGAGCGAAAGCAUGGGGAGCGAACAGG